rnacentral:lncRNA from 1 species
GACAAACCAGUAUCAAUUUGGUCUCGAUUGGACGAGUUUGAGACUUGGCCACCAAUUUUGAUUUGAUUUUUGAAGCUUUUGAUUGAUAUUCGAUGGCUAAUGUUUACAUAUUUGGACUGAGGGGGUCGAGGUGGUUCAGGGUGUGAUUUUGGGUGGGAUUGAAGGUGGCAUCGCCACCAGCGGCUUAGGAAUUUAAGGUGGCUUUUAUUAGGGCUCAUGAGGGGGGUCUGGG